GCGGAGGAAAAGAAACCAACCGGGAUUGCCUUAGUAACGGCGAGUGAAGCGGCAAAAGCUCAAAUUUGAAAUCUGGUACCUUCGGUGCCCGAGUUGUAAUUUGGAGAGGGCAACUUUGGGGCCGUUCCUUGUCUAUGUUCCUUGGAACAGGACGUCAUAGAGGGUGAGAAUCCCGUGUGGCGAGGAGUGCGGUUCUUUGUAAAGUGCCUUCGAAGAGUCGAGUUGUUUGGGAAUGCAGCUCUAAGUGGGUGGUAAAUUCCAUCUAAAGCUAAAUAUUGGCGAGAGACCGAUAGCGAACAAGUACAGUGAUGGAAAGAUGAAAAGAACUUUGAAAAGAGAGUGAAAAAGUACGUGAAAUUGUUGAAAGGGAAGGGCAUUUGAUCAGACAUGGUGUUUUGUGCCCUCUGCUCCUUGUGGGUAGGGGAAUCUCGCAUUUCACUGGGCCAGCAUCAGUUUUGGUGGCAGGAUAAAUCCAUAGGAAUGUAGCUUGCCUCGGUAAGUAUUAUAGCCUGUGGGAAUACUGCCAGCUGGGACUGAGGACUGCGACGUAAGUCAAGGAUGCU
rnacentral:rRNA from 1 species